GAAGGUAGAGCUAUUUGGUAGCUCACAAAGCUGAUAACCUUGGGGUUAUGGGUUGGAUACUCACUACCCGCU
rnacentral:tRNA from 1 species